AGAAAAAAAAAAUCAUCUGCCAAAGUUUGCAAGAUAAAUAAAGUAUCUGUUUACUGAUGUAUCUAUCUAUACCAGCAAGAGACGGCAAGCAUCACCUCAUACCUGCUCUAUCAGGGGACUCUUUUCAAAAAGACUGACUGACAUUAAGAAAGAGGUUCAAAAUGACAUUGGAGGGGAGACAUGAUGGAAGAAUUUUCAUUUUUCUGUAUGUUAUUCCUCUAACUUAUCAUUUCCAGCCUAUUAAUAUUUUAUGUUUUCAUAUUAUGUUUCUCUUUCUUGCUGUCCAACACUUAUAAUUUCAGCCAUCUAUGUCCAGCAAACCAUAACUGACACACACACGCAUGCCUGACAGUUGUGAUCACUCGUCUGAUGCUGACACUGACAUACAGGAAGCACAGAGGAAACAGCAGCCAAGACUUCCUGUGGUUUUGUUUUGAGUUGUCAGGCAGGAAUGUGGAAAGCAUCCAGACGCUGCUGGCUCUGCCAUCUGCAGCACUAUUCAUGAGCAGAUACACAGGAAAAUCCAUCCAGCCGGUAAACACAGUUCAAUCUGUAACAUGCUGCAGGGGACACAGUGUAAAGAGUCUGAGGUUCACCAUAUACUGCUUCCUCAUGAUA